ensembl:lncRNA
AGGUUGUAAUGCAACAAAAUAGGAAAAAUGCCAAGGGGGAUGAAUACCUUUGCAAGGCACAACACACACAGCAGGAUAGAUCAUUUCUGACUCACCAGUAAGAACUGUCAGUACAAUACUGAUGGGCAUCGAUGUGAGCACUACAAAGUGGGUAACUACGGCAAUGCUGCCCAGAGGACCUGUCGUGGGUGUCUUAUCCCUGAAGCUCUAUCUCUUAAUGCAUAUAGAAGAUCUCCUUCAUCACCUGAGGGAGGCGAAAUCUAGUAUAACCAACAUAAAUGUGGCAGUGGAGGAGGUGGCCAGGAUGAUGAAGGAGGUGCAGCGCAUGGUGCAGGAGAUGAGAGAACUUGGCUGCAGUAACCAGACAAGGAGGCUUCCAGGGAGCAAAAGGAGGCUCACAAACGUGAGAUCUGGGCAUUUUGGAUUAGACUAA